GUGGUUUUAUAAGGGACUCUCCUCCUUUCGCACACUCUCACCUGCUGCCAUGUAAGACGUGCCUGCUUCACCUUCCGACAUGAUUGUUGACUGGGCAACUCUUCACAUCUAGACCAGCUUGGCUUGGGCUGAGGCUGGAUGAUCAAACAGUCUCACCCAUGUGUCUGAUUGUUGGCAGACUGAGUAGUCUAAAGAAGCCUCAGCUGGAACUGCUGAUCUCUGCUUCAUCUGGUCUGUCAUCUUCCAGAAGCCUCCUUCACAAGUGGCAGAAGGGUUCUAAAAUGAGCAAGCGAGGGCAAAGCUUUUUCAAGUCUCUCCUUUCAUUGUUUUGCUCAUGUAGAGCAAGCCACCUGGCUAAACCCAGAUUAAAAGCGUGAGAAAUCGAAUCCACCCGUUAUUGUGAGGAUUGGCAGAAUCACAAUGCAAAGGGGUGUGCAUACAGCAACUGGAGGAAUUUGUGGCCAUUUUUGCAAUCUACCACAUGGCUUUAGGCAAAGACUAAAUCAGGGUGUGAUUAUUGCAUCCCAUUUUGAAGAUCUAUGUAAGGAUUAAGGUGGUGCCAUUCAGCUAGACAAAAGCGUUCCUAGAAUGAACUGUGUGGUCCCACAGAAGCCUGAUAUGCCUAUUAUUUAGUAUCUGAUAUUAAGUCUAGAGAGGAAACCAUGAGAGAAUUGUGGACAUGGCUUUUGGCCCAUGAAGUUGUCUGAAAUCAAAUACACAGAAAAUAUUCAGUUCAGCCAGGCGCGGUGGCUCACGCCUGUAAUUCCAGCACUUUGGGAGGCCGAAGUGGGUGGAUCAUCUGAGAUUGGGAGUUUGAGAUCAGCCUGACCAACAUGGA
rnacentral:lncRNA from 1 species